GUGUUCGCUUCGGCAGCACAUAUAAAAUUGGAACGAUACAGAGAAGAUUAGCAUGGCCCCUGUGCAAGGAUGACACGCAAAUUCGUGACGCGUUCCAUAUUUUU
rnacentral:snRNA from 1 species